rnacentral:lncRNA from 1 species
UUGUCUUCAAAUAUCAGAAUGGAGAACUACUUUUCCAAGGACAACCAAGUCCCUGCAUAUCUCCUCUGGACACCACAGGUUAAACCUUCCAAGAGAUAGCAACAAUUGUCAAAACCUCCUCACCGUGAUAGCAAGCAAGGAGGAAGGACCCUUAAGACCUUCGAUGCUCCCUUUUUUCAGCAGCAGAAAUGAGAUGAUGAGAAUAUAAGUGCUUUAGAGUCAUGAAAUGUUGCCAAUGGGUGAAAAAAGAAAACGAAAAAUAAUUUUGUAACCGUUAAGCAUGAUGAAAAUGUAAAUGUCAGCUUUUACCAGCAAAAUCAGGUAAUAAGUCAUUUUACAAAACGACAGUGAAAGAGUAUACAAAUGAAGAUGUAGUGCCAGAGAAUAUUUUUGAGGUAAGUGGUAUUUAUUUUUAGUAUUUCUAGAUAACUUGAAAAAUUGUUUAUUUUAAACUUAAUGUAGUAGUUCCAAGGUAGACUUGGUUUCCUUGUAAGAUAUUGUUUUGCCAAGUCAUGUUAGACAUAAUAAAAGAUGUAAAAUCAUUCUGUCGAGAUACA